CCCGCUGAACUUAAGCAUAUCAAUAAGCGGAGGAAAAGAAACUAACAAGGAUUCCCCUAGUAACUGCGAGUGAAGCGGGAAAAGCUCAAAUUUAAAAUCUAAUAGUUUUUAACUAUUCGAGUUGUAAUCUGGAGAAGUGUUUUCUGUGCUGGACCGUGUAUAAGUCUCUUGGAAUAGAGCGUCAUAGAGGGUGAGAAUCCCGUCUUUGACACGGACUACCAGUACUUUGUGAUACACUCUCAAAGAGUCGAGUUGUUUGGGAAUGCAGCUCAAAAUGGGUGGUAAAUUCCAUCUAAAGCUAAAUAUUGGCGAGAGACCGAUAGCGAACAAGUACCGUGAGGGAAAGAUGAAAAGCACUUUGGAAAGAGAGUUAAACAGUACGUGAAAUUGCUGAAAGGGAAACGCUUGAAGUCAGUCGCGUUAGCUAGAACUCAGCCUUACUUUGGUUUGGUGCAUUUUCUAGUUGACGGGUCAGCAUCAGUUUUGACUGCUAGAAAAAGGCUAGAGAAAUGUGGCACCUCUGGGUGUGUUAUAGUCUCUAGUUGUAUAUAGUGGUUGGGACUGAGGAUUGCAGCACGCCUUUAAUGGUUGGGGUUUUUGCCUACAUUCGUGCUUAGGAUGCUGACAUAAUGGCUUUAAACGACCCGUCUUGAAACACGG
rnacentral:rRNA from 1 species